rnacentral:rRNA from 1 species
UACGAAGGGUGCAAGCGUUACUCGGAAUUACUGGGCGUAAAGCGUGCGUAGGUGGUUUGUUAAGUCUGCUGUGAAAGCCCCGGGCUCAACCUGGGAAUGGCAGUGGAUACUGGCAAGCUAGAGUGCGGUAGAGGGGUGUGGAAUUCCCGGUGUAGCGGUGAAAUGCGUAGAGAUCGGGAGGAACACCAGUGGCGAAGGCGGCACCCUGGACCAGCACUGACACUGAGGCACGAAAGCGUGGGGAGCGAAUGGG